rnacentral:rRNA from 1 species
UUUGGUUAAGUUAGAAAGGGCGCACGGUGGAUGCCUUGACACUAGGAGUCGAUGAAGGACGGGACUAACGCCGAUAUGCUUCGGGGAGCUGUAAGUAAGCUUUGAUCCGAAGAUUUCCGAAUGGGGAAACCCACCAUACGUAAUGGUAUGGUAUCCUUAUCUGAAUACAUAGGGUAAGGAAGACAGACCCAGGGAACUGAAACAUCUAAGUACCUGGAGGAAGAGAAAGCAAAUGCGAUUUCCUGAGUAGCGGCGAGCGAAACGGAACAUAGCCCAAACCAAGAGGCUUGCCUCUUGGGGUUGUAGGACAUUCUAUACGGAGUUACAAAGGAACGAGGUAGACGAAGCGACCUGGAAAGGUCCGUCGUAGAGGGUAACAACCCCGUAGUCGAAACUUCGUUCUCUCUUGAAUGUAUCCUGAGUACGGCGGAACACGUGAAAUUCCGUCGGAAUCUGGGAGGACCAUCUCCCAAGGCUAAAUACUCCCUAGUGAUCGAUAGUGAACCAGUACCGUGAGGGAAAGGUGAAAAGCACCCCGGAAGGGGAGUGAAAGAGAUCCUGAAACCGUGUGCCUACAAAUAGUCAGAGCCCGUUAACGGGUGAUGGCGUGCCUUUUGUAGAAUGAACCGGCGAGUUACGAUCCCGUGCGAGGUUAAGCUGAAGAGGCGGAGCCGCAGCGAAAGCGAGUCUGAAUAGGGCGUUUAGUACGUGGUCGUAGACCCGAAACCAGGUGAUCUACCCAUGUCCAGGGUGAAGUUCAGGUAACACUGAAUGGAGGCCCGAACCCACGCACGUUGAAAAGUGCGGGGAUGAGGUGUGGGUAGCGGAGAAAUUCCAAUCGAACCUGGAGAUAGCUGGUUCUCCCCGAAAUAGCUUUAGGGCUAGCCUUAAGUGUAAGAGUCUUGGAGGUAGAGCACUGAUUGGACUAGGGGUCCUCAUCGGAUUACCGAAUUCAGUCAAACUCCGAAUGCCAAUGACUUAUCCUUAGGAGUCAGACUGCGAGUGAUAAGAUCCGUAGUCAAAAGGGAAACAGCCCAGACCGCCAGCUAAGGUCCCAAAGUGUGUAUUAAGUGGAAAAGGAUGUGGAGUUGCUUAGACAACUAGGAUGUUGGCUUAGAAGCAGCCACCAUUUAAAGAGUGCGUAAUAGCUCACUAGUCGAGUGACUCUGCGCCGAAAAUGUACCGGGGCUAAAUACACCACCGAAGCUGCGGAUUGAUACCAAUGGUAUCAGUGGUAGGGGAGCGUUCUAAGGACAGUGAAGUCAGACCGGAAGGACUGGUGGAGUGCUUAGAAGUGAGAAUGCCGGUAUGAGUAGCGAAAGACGGGUGAGAAUCCCGUCCACCGAAUGCCUAAGGUUUCCUGAGGAAGGCUCGUCCGCUCAGGGUUAGUCAGGACCUAAGCCGAGGCCGACAGGCGUAGGCGAUGGACAACAGGUUGAUAUUCCUGUACCACCUCUUUAUCGUUUGAGCAAUGGAGGGACGCAGAAGGAUAGAAGAAGCGUGCGAUUGGUUGUGCACGUCCAAGCAGUUAGGCUGAUAAGUAGGCAAAUCCGCUUAUCGUGAAGGCUGAGCUGUGAUGGGGAAGCUCCUUAUGGAGCGAAGUCUUUGAUUCCCCGCUGCCAAGAAAAGCUUCUAGCGAGAUAAAAGGUGCCUGUACCGCAAACCGACACAGGUAGGCGAGGAGAGAAUCCUAAGGUGUGCGAGAGAACUCUGGUUAAGGAACUCGGCAAAAUGACCCCGUAACUUCGGGAGAAGGGGUGCUUUCUUAACGGAAAGCCGCAGUGAAUAGGCCCAAGCGACUGUUUAGCAAAAACACAGCUCUCUGCGAAGCCGUAAGGCGAAGUAUAGGGGGUGACACCUGCCCGGUGCUGGAAGGUUAAGGAGAGGGGUUAGCGUAAGCGAAGCUCUGAACUGAAGCCCCAGUAAACGGCGGCCGUAACUAUAACGGUCCUAAGGUAGCGAAAUUCCUUGUCGGGUAAGUUCCGACCCGCACGAAAGGUGUAACGAUUUGGGCACUGUCUCAACCAGAGACUCGGUGAAAUUAUAGUACCUGUGAAGAUGCAGGUUACCCGCGACAGGACGGAAAGACCCCGUGGAGCUUUACUGUAGCCUGAUAUUGAAUUUUGGUACAGUUUGUACAGGAUAGGCGGGAGCCUUUGAAACCGGAGCGCUAGCUUCGGUGGAGGCGCUGGUGGGAUACCGCCCUGACUGUAUUGAAAUUCUAACCUACGGGUCUUAUCGACCCGGGAGACAGUGUCAGGUGGGCAGUUUGACUGGGGCGGUCGCCUCCUAAAGUGUAACGGAGGCGCCCAAAGGUUCCCUCAGAAUGGUUGGAAAUCAUUCGUAGAGUGCAAAGGCAUAAGGGAGCUUGACUGCGAGACCUACAAGUCGAGCAGGGACGAAAGUCGGGCUUAGUGAUCCGGUGGUUCCGCAUGGAAGGGCCAUCGCUCAACGGAUAAAAGCUACCCCGGGGAUAACAGGCUUAUCUCCCCCAAGAGUCCACAUCGACGGGGAGGUUUGGCACCUCGAUGUCGGCUCAUCGCAUCCUGGGGCUGUAGUCAGUCCCAAGGGUUGGGCUGUUCGCCCAUUAAAGCGGUACGCGAGCUGGGUUCAGAACGUCGUGAGACAGUUCGGUCCCUAUCCGUCGUGGGCGUAGGAAAUUUGAGAGGAGCUGUCCUUAGUACGAGAGGACCGGGAUGGACGCACCGCUGGUGUACCAGUUGUUCUGCCAAGGGCAUAGCUGGGUAGCUAUGUGCGGAAGGGAUAAGUGCUGAAAGCAUCUAAGCAUGAAGCCCCCCUCAAGAUGAGAUUUCCCAUAGCGUAAGCUAGUAAGAUCCCUGAAAGAUGAUCAGGUUGAUAGGUUCGAGGUGGAAGCAUGGUGACAUGUGGAGCUGACGAAUACUAAUAGAUCGAGGACUUAACCAUAUAA